AGGAAAAUAUUGAAAAGGGACUGAAAUUGGCUGAAAAGAAGUACGCAGAGUUCAAGAAGAAAAGUACUCAGACUAGUUCUUAGUUAGAAUGAGAACCGUUG
rnacentral:rRNA from 15 species